GAGAGCCUGCGGCGUUGGUGAAUGCCAAAAAGUUAUCGAUCUAUACAUUGUGCGAUAGGGAACAUGGAACGGGCGGCUGUGAGCAAGCUGGGCAUCGCUAGCGAUGACUCUCAGAUCCUCUAAAGCAGUCCAUAGUGCUCCCACCUGGGCUUCCAGAGGUCGCAUACUGAGGUAAAACGGCGUUGCGGGUCCAUU
rnacentral:other from 1 species